rnacentral:rRNA from 1 species
CGCUAUCACUCCUACGGGGAGGCAGCAGUAGGGAAUCUUCCACAAUGGGCGCAAGCCUGAUGGAGCAACACCGCGUGAGUGAAGAAGGGUUUCGGUUCGUAAAGCUCUGUUGUUAAAGAAGAACACGUAUGAGAGUAACUGUUCAUACGUUGACGGUAUUUAACCAGAAAGUCACGGCUAACUACGUGCCAGCAGCCGCGGUAAUACGUAGGUGGCAAGCGUUAUCCGGAUUUAUUGGGCGUAAAGAGAGUGCAGGCGGUUUUCUAAGUCUGAUGUGAAAGCCUUCGGCUUAACCGGAGAAGUGCAUCGGAAACUGGAUAACUUGAGUGCAGAAGAGGGUAGUGGAACUCCAUGUGUAGCGGUGGAAUGCGUAGAUAUAUGGAAGAACACCAGUGGCGAAGGCGGCUACCUGGUCUGCAACUGACGCUGAGACUCGAAAGCAUGGGUAGCGAACAGGAUUAGAUACCCUGGUAG